UACGUAGGGGGCAAGCGUUGUCCGGAUUUAUUGGGCGUAAAGAGCGUGUAGGCGGCUUUACAGGUCCGUUGUGAAAACUCGAGGCUCAACCUCGAGACGCCGGUGGAAACCGUAAAGCUAGAGUCCGGAAGAGGAGAGUGGAAUUCCUGGUGUAGCGGUGAAAUGCGUAGAUAUCGGAAGGAACGCCGGUGGCGAAAGCGAGUCGCUGGACCUCUUCUGACGCUGAGGCGCGAAAGCCAGGGGAGCAAACGGG
rnacentral:rRNA from 1 species